CAAUCAUAUUCCCAUCGACCCAUGUGAUCAAGCAGUUGUUUUUCUUCUGUGUUUCUGCUCCCACAGUCCUUUCUCUGGAUGUGGAUAGUGUUCUCUCUCAUAGGUCUCUCAGAAUUGUCCUGGGUCAUUGCGUUGCUGCUAGUAGAGAACUCCAUUACAUUCGAUUGUACCACAGUGUAUCAGUGGUUGCAUUCUUUUGGAUAUUCUCAUCAUACUUCAAGGAACUCAUCAUCCUUCAAGAUGCAUUUAGUCUUUAAUCUUUGCAUUUCCUUAGUAUUUUCUGCUCCUGGGACUCCUCUGGAGGAAAUCAUUAUUCUGAGAUGGAGGUCCAUUGGCUUCAUCAGAUUUCCAAAAGGGCCCACGAUACAAAAAAGCUUUAGGAUUCUUCAAAAAUUAUUCUUCACUACCUGUCUGUCUGCUGAGGUUCUUCUCUGUUGCUGGAGUAGAGGGUUAUUCCAGGUUUUCAGAGUAUUCUUCUCUGGUACUUAAGGUAGGCUCAGCUGCCUUUGUUUUGUAACUCUGAGUAUAAUUCUAG
rnacentral:lncRNA from 1 species